rnacentral:rRNA from 1 species
UACGGAGGGGGCUAGCGUUGUUCGGAAUUACUGGGCGUAAAGUGUGCGCAGGCGGCCGCGCAAGUCGAGUGUGAAAGCCCCGGGCUUAACUUGGGAAUUGCGCUCGAAACUACGUGGCUGGAGUGUGGCAGAGGAAGGUGGAAUUCCACGUGUAGCGGUGAAAUGCGUAGAGAUGUGGAGGAACACCAAUGGCGAAGGCAGCCUUCUGGGCCAACACUGACGCUCAUGCACGAAAGCGUGGGGAGCAAACAGG